GAGAGAACUCCCUUAACCUUCUGCUCAAAUUUUCUAUAAACCUAAAACUGCUUAAAAAAGAGUAAAGUCUAUCCAUUUACAAAAUUAAGAGAGAUAACUAACUCAGAGUUGAGGAGGAUUUUAGUCCAGGGGCAGAGAUUUUCAGACUUGGCAUAGGUUCCAUCAUUAACGUCUUAAAUUCCAUGGUAGGAACCCUCGGCAAUUAGGCAUUAAAGAAGAUACACGUAUUAACAGUUCUGGAGAACAAUAUUUGAAUGUCCAGGUUGAGGAAGCAAACAUGGAUUCUCUAGAUCAGUGAUGAGAAAACGAUGGUCCCCAGGCCAAGGCCCUGUGCCAACUGUUUGUGUAAAUAAAGCUUUAUUGGAACCCAGCCAAACCCAUUAGUUUACAUAAGGCCUAUGGCUCCUUUUGAGCUACGAUAGCAGUUGAUUAGUAGCAAUUGAGACCAACAUGAGCUUCCAGCCUGAAACAUUCAUCUGGCCCUUUAUAGAAAAAUCUGCUAGCCCCUGAACUAGACUCUUACUGGGGCUGGUUGAAUCUAUGUAAAUGUCAUGGAAUUCCUUCAUUUCAGAAUAAAUCACAUUGAGAUAUAAAAACCUUCUCCGGAAAAAAAAGAUAACAAGAAACAGUGCUAUCUGUGGACAGAUCCCUCUGACAAUAUCUGAGAUUUGGAGAUGUGAUUCUGGAGAAGGUUUUCCAAUUUGAUCUAUAGAUAGUGUAGUAUUCAUGCUGAUUAAUUAAACAGCCCAAUUAUGAAAAAGCAGUAACCAAUUCUCAUUUAACUAAAAAGUAGAAUUAAAAUGCUAAGUGGAAUACACUUCCCAAGAGAAAUGGAAGUUAAAUAAAAUAUCUUUUCAGUUUAAGUACCUAGAAGAUAUUCUAUAUGCCACAUCAACAUUGUUGCAAGAAAACAGAGAAACAGGGCUCCAAGUAUACACAGGUAAACCUACACAAAUACUACAGAAACAGCCAUUUGUAAUAUAGAAAACACAAAACAUGCCUGGAAACAUAAAUGGUUGAAAUUAUUUCUGAGUUUUGGACACAGAGAAUGCAAUAUUAGGAUGCACUGUAAUAUUAGGAAUAGCAAAAGUUAUCUAUUUUUUUUUCACAAAGAUGGGCAAGAUAAGAAUACAAUGAGACUUGACAAUUCCCACUCUGCACUACCAUCCUCUUAAUCCUCAUUAUUCCCUCUGGCCGGCUUUCUUUGUCUGUCAAUGAUCUCUUAAGCUGUACCUUAAAAAGGAAGAAGGAAAAGAGUUCUGCUAAAAAUAAAUAAGUGGGAGUUCCCUGGUGGUUCAGCAGGUUAAGGAUCUGACAUUGUCGCUACUGUGGCGCAAGUUUGAUCUCUGGCGGGGGAAGUUCCACAGGUGUGGAAUGAACAAAUAAAUGAAUAAAUACAGCCUUCGACUUUCAAGGAAUUGAGAAAAAGCGGGGGCAAUCUAAUCUUACACUGGGGAGAGAAUUGGAUUCUGUCUGAUUAGCGGUUCUCCAUAUGCACAAGAGCUGGCGACUCUUAACAGGUGAUAGACAGGCAAAUUAGUCAUACAGUGGAGUCACGGUGUCCAAUCAGAAGGCCUGUGUGCGUGGUCUCAUCAGGAAGAAAUUAAAUCACGUGUUCUUCUUCCAACUCUACUUUGCAAAUGAGCCUUUAGGUUCACGGCAUCCUGAGGCUGAGGUGGUUAUGAGAGUAUAUGCUUAUUCAUAGCCCCAUGUAAUUUUCAAAAAUACCUCUACAGUUUUAAAGUGGGAGUUGCUUAAUUGACAGAGAAAUACCUAAUUCUGAUAUAGGACACCUAAUUUUAAAUACAAGAGUAAAGUUUUGCUUGAACUUGUAACACAGGAGAACUGUAAAAAUGAUCACAGUAGUUCUUACCAAUUCUAUAUAAAAACAUACGCCACUGCACAUAGACACUGCUUUAGUAUAAAAUCACAGUGGGCUUGUUUUCCUGGGAAGAAAUGUUUCAAUUCAGGCUGCCAUCUCUUCUUCCAAGAAUAUAAAUAUGAUAAAAACCUCCCAUUCUUCAAAGAAAGGCAAUCUCGUCUCAUGAACUGAGAUGCAGCAUAAAAAAACUGAUUCAGACUAAUUCAUUCCACAGAAAACCUUUCUUCGUGUUUUAAUAGAUGUGCAUUUUAUAAGACACUGUUUUUCUGAUUCAUAGAGGUAAAAAUAAAAAUCACUUGUGUGUCGAAACCCAAGUUCAAUUCCUCUAUUCUUCUGCAUGAGGUUAAUUGAUUUUGUUGGUAAGAUAGCUAUCCUGUGCUCUAGAAACAUCCUUUACAAUGGUUUGAGAAAAGAAGUAAAUAGCAGGGCAAUCUGCAUGUUUUAAUGGAAUUGGCACUAGCCUAGACUAAGCUUUUCCGUUAAGAAAUAUUAAAAAUCAAAGUAGAAAACAAAUCAAGUGAGUAUAUAAAGCAUGUUAAACCACAUAACUACUGGAGUUCCCUUCGUGCCUCAGCAGUCAACAAAUCUGACCAGGAUCCAUGAGGAUGCAGGUUCAAUCCCUGGCCUUGCUCAGUGGGUUAAGGAUCUGGCGUUGCUCUGAGCUGCGGUGUGGAUUGCAGACAUGGCUCAGAUCCCAUGUUGCUGUGGCUGUGGUGUAGGCUGGCAGCUGUAGCUCCAAUUGGACCCCUAGCCUGGGAACUUCCAUAUGCCAUAGGUACAGCACUAAAAAAAGCAAAACUAUUAUUUGAAUUCAUAGUGUCGAAAAAGGUGAGUUAAUUUUAAAUGCUAUAAAAAGAUAUGUAUUAAGACGGUUUUUAAAGUAACACUGAACUCAUGUUUAAUUGAAAGGUUUUGGGGGAGAUACUAUUCCAAUAUUUACAAAUAUUUUACUUAUUUAAUCUAAACUAUGAAAAGGAAACCAAAUCUGGUGUUUGAUAUUAAUAUCUUAGGGUUUGAUCUGAACUGGCUGAUCCAGUCUGAACAUCUUGAUUGGGCUCUUAUUCUUCAGUAUCUAGAGAAUCUGUCUGUCAUUCUUUUAAAUCACCAAAUGGAACUUAAAAAAAAAAAUCCCACAGCCUUUUGUUUUAUUUUGUUUUUACAAAACAGCGUUCUCUUUCUCACAUUUUCUUUUUCUUUUCUUUUCCUUUCCUUUCCUUCCUUCCUUCCUUUGGCCACACCCAAGGCAUAUGGAUCCCAGGCCAAGGAUAAAACCUGCACCAUCGCAGAGACAACUCAGGAUCUUUAACACACUACACCACAGCACGAAUUCCUCUUCUCAUAUUUUUAGUUGGCUUUUUUCGGGGGGGGGGCGUGUAGAGAGCAGGGAGUUGGACAUUUGAAGCAGAACUGAAACAGAUAAAGAAUUUUAAAAAAUUCAGACUUGAUUUAUUAAGAAGAGAUUUUACCCCAAAUACAAACUGAGACUAUGCAACAGCUCACUUUUAAAUGUCCCCAGCAGACGACUAGAUUAUUUAGAAACAGGCAGUUGCUCAGGUCUGAGUCAGCCUGAAGCAGUGCCUUCGGCGUCUCCCUCACCUUGAAUAAAUAGCAAAACCAUCUAUUCUUGAGAUGGCUGCAGAGGAUGCUAAACGAAGCUUUAUCUGCACCCUGACUCAAGAUAAAUGUCACCCUCUACUGGGGUUGACAUGUAUUUCAAUCUCACUCCUCACUCUUAGAGAAGUAUCACUCACCAUGCAUUUAGGUCUCAAAAUGAUUUAUUUUGAAAAUCAAAUCCAAGUUCAGAUUUAGAGAUUUUAGUCUGGGUGUCAAGAAUGAAGAGGUAGAGAUUAUUGUACUUGGCCUUAGGAAACUGGUCCCCACCUGAGAUUAAGAAACUGCAAGUCCCACUAAUCCUAUUAAAACCAGGGCUAAAAGUCACCUGUGAAUAAGCCUUGGAAUGGCUUUAAGUGCCAACAGAAAAAAAGACAGCCUUGUCCUUAUAUCAAAAACGGGAGAAAAAAACCUCUCAUUUCCCUUAAGUUCCACAAUCUUAAAAACAUCUGGAUUCCUUCUAUAGCCACUAUAUAUAAUUUAUAAGACACUGCUUAUAUUAUAGGAAACCAAUGGCUUUCUGGGAAUCAAGCAAUGAGAAAACAGGAGCAGCCUGAAAAAAUUAAAUACAGACUCAAUUAUAUUCUUACUAUGUAUUCAACACUUGCCUUAGAGCCAAGUGCUUUUUGGGCAUUAGCUUAGUCUCCUAACAGCAAUAGAAAAUAAUACAAAAGAUAACUAUGAGAUAUGAAUUAUUUUUAUAUUACAGGCAAGGAAACUUACAGCAGUAGCUCUCAAACUCUGGCACACAUCAGAAUUAUCUAGAAAACUGGAGUUCCUGCUAUGGCGCAGCAGAAACAAAUCUGACUAGGAACCAUGAGUUUGCGGGUUCAAUCCCCAGCCUCAUUCAGUGGGUUGAGGAUCUGGUGUUGCCAUGAAUUGUGGUGUAGGUCGCAGAUGAGUCCUGGAUCCUGCAUUGCCGUGGUUCUGGCAUAGGCCGGCGGCUACAGCUCCGAUUAGACACCUAGCCUGGGAAUCUCCAUAUGCCACAGGUGCGGCCAUAACAGCAAAAAAAAAACAAAAAAAACCGAAUUAUCUAGAAAGCUAGUUAAUACAUAAGUCUGGGGAUGGAGUGGAGGAGAAUUUGCAUUUUCAACAAGUUCAGGUGAUACCGGUGCUUCUUGCCUGUGGACCACACUGCAAAUCACUGCACCAAGUUAAAAUGCACAUGACUUUUGCAGUGGAAAUUCCUUCAGGAGUAGAUAUGAUGAAUGCACAGUAGGAACUUAACAUAUUUUAGUUUUCUGCUCUUGCAGAGCAUAAAGACAUGGUCACUACAGAGACACAGUAACCAGAAAGGAAUAACUAAAUAAUUUCAAGGGCUUUUAACACUUUCCCCGAAUUCUGGAUCUACUUGCAGAACUUUCUAGAUCUUUGAUUGGAAAUAAGUCGGGGCAGUUAGUAAAAGAAUGUAACGCCCUACAGGAACAUAGACACUGAACUCUGAGAAUAGGUCAGUGUUUCUCACAAUUCAGUGUGCCUCUGCCUCCGGGCCCCACAGAUUUGGGCUCAGCAGUUCUGGGUUGGAAUGGGGUAUCUGCUUUAAGCACCCAGAUGACUCUGAUGCAGGCAGUAACACGACAUGUCCUGUAAAAGGCUGACUACAUAUAGGUUUCACACAUGUCUGGUUGCUUCUGAAAUGAGGAAAAGCAGUAAACAUGGCAAUAACCACCUAAGUGCCUUUUCUAUCCGAGUUGCAAAUUUGAGUCACAUUUUGGUUCAAGCUGCCCGGCCAUACCUGACCCAGGCCCCGUCACUGCUCUAGGAGUCAAGUGCGAAACAGAGCUACGUACAGAAGUGUAUAGAUCUGUGGUGGACAUCGAUUGCGGGACUACUCUAAACCUGGACGGAGUCUCAAUAUAGACAGAGGCGUUGGCCUGCCUGCCCACCCCCCGCCUCCCAGUCCCAGCCAUUAGGGCACCGCCUAGGGUCACAGGUGGCUGGUUGGAUGCUCUCACGUGGGAGUCUGAAUCUGCAGGGAAUGCAGCACAUAUGCAGAGUAAUAGGGAGCCUGGGUGGAGCAGAGGUUGCAGUGGUCCAUCGGAGCAUCUGAUGGGGGCAGCUAAGGACCAUAAUGACAGCAGAGGGCAGUAAAUGGACAGCGGAAUGGUACCAGCUGUACCUCACAUGCAGACUGUUUUUGCUCAACUGUGCUUCUCUUGGCUCCUAUUAAAACCUGGUUAUCUAACAUUCUUACAGGUCCUCUGAGUGCCCAGCACACUGCCAACACAGUUCUAUCACCCUUAACCUCUGGUCUCUGGGUUGAAGAGGCAGGGUCACAUCGCCGAUUUCAAUUUUAAAUAGGCCCUGGUAAUACUGGUAAGUAUUAAUUUUUAUUUUAUUUUUUUUAGGGCCACACCCAUGGAAUAUGAAAGUCUGAUCUAGGUCCAGGGGUCUAAUCAGAGCUGCCGCUGCCAGGCUGCGCCACAGCCACCGCCGCAGCAACGAGGGUCUGAGCGGCAUCCGUGACCUACACUCCAGCUUGUGGCAAUGCCAGAUCCUUAACAUGCUGAGCGUGGCCAGGGAUCAGACCUGCAUCCUCAAGGAUAGUAGAUCAGGUUUUUAACAUCUUGAGCCACAAGAGGAACUCCUACCCAUAUAACUUUUGGGGAAAUGAUUUAAUCUUUGGGAUUUCACAUUACUCGGCUGUGAAGUUGAGAGGAAGGAUGCCGGGAUCUCUAAGGCAGUUCCCAGCUCUCAGGAUUUCAUCCUUUUGAGUCUUAGAAUAGAUGGCCUUGGGUGGGAGCUACUGCCGUGGAGGAAGGAGGA
rnacentral:lncRNA from 1 species